GAUGAACGCUGGCGGCGUGCUUAAUACAUGCAAGUCGAGCGAACAGACGAGGAGCUUGCUCCUCGGACGUUAGCGGCGGACGGGUGAGUAACGCGUGGAUAACCUACCUAUAAGACUGGUAUAAUUUCGGGAAACCGGAGAUAAUCCCGGAGAAUAUAUUGAAGCGCAUGGUUGAAUAGUGAAAUACGGUGUUGCUGGCAAUUCUAGAUGGAUCCGCGCCGCAUUAGCUAGUUGGUAAGGUAACGGCUUACCAAGGCAACGAUGCGUAGACGACGUGAGAGGGUGAUCGGCCACACUGGAACGGAGACACGGUCCAGACUCCUACGGGAGGCAGCAGUAGGGAAUCUUCCGCAAUGGGCGAAAGCCUGACGGAGCAACGCGGAGUGAGUUAUGAAGGUCUUCGGAUCGUAAAACUCUGUUAUUAGUGAUGAACAAAUGUGUAAGUAGCUAUGCACGUCUUGACGGUACCUAAUCAGAAAGCCACGGCUAACUACGUG
rnacentral:rRNA from 1 species